rnacentral:rRNA from 1 species
AGGACGAACGCUGGCGGCGUGCUUAACACAUGCAAGUCGAGCGGUAAGGCCUCCUUCGGGGGGUACACGAGCGGCGAACGGGUGAGUAACACGUGGGUGACCUGCCCUCAGCUCUGGGAUAAGCCUGGGAAACCGGGUCUAAUACCGGAUAGGACUGCUUGCCGCAUGGUGGGUGGUGGAAAGUUUUUUCGGCUGGGGAUGGGCCCGCGGCCUAUCAGCUUGUUGGUGGGGUGAUGGCCUACCAAGGCGGCG